rnacentral:sRNA from 1 species
UCUAUGAAACGAUCCUUAGAUAUAUAGUUGCUAUGCUAUAGCUGAAUGAGGCCAUAUUUAUUUUGGUCAUAUCAAUAUUUAUUAGAUUGAAAACACAAUUAUGUAACUUUAAAAAUCUUUUGCAGGUUGAAAUUAAUUGAAAAUGAGUUUCAAGACGGUGAUAUCACUCUUAAGGGCUAUUGGAAGAAAAAGUACAGUAUACUGGAAAAAGUUUUGCCUGGAAAACUUAGAUCUGAAGUGGAAAAUCUCAGACAAGAAUUUGAAGGUGGCGACAUCACAGAGAAAGGUUAUUACAAAAAGUUGGAAAGUAUUAUUGAAGACUUUCUAGAACAAACAAAAGACAAUGUCUGCAAGCUGAUCCAGAACUCUGUUGACACUACUGGAGAUAAUUCAGUGAAUACAAAUGGGAAUGGUUCUAUGCCACUGGUCAGGAAAGAAACAGAAGUGUCCAAACAAAAUAUUGUUGAGAUCAAGUGUGAUAAUGAACUGAAACAAAAUGGACACCAUCAAAGCCAAGUUUGUGAAAGUAAAAUGGAGGUUG